GUGCUCGUUUCGGCAGCACAUAUACUAAAAUUGGAACGUUACAGAGAAGAUUAGCAUGGCCCCUGUGCAAGGAUAUCACAACAGAGCCAGAUCUUCCAGAUCUGCUG
ensembl:snRNA U6 U6 spliceosomal RNA